CCUUUUAAAGGAGAACCCCGGGAACUGGGGCUAAUCCCCGAUAGAUGAGAACUCCUGGAACGGGUUCUCGUCCAAAAGGCAUCAAGGUCAUGCUUCUUGGCGUCGCUCAAGGAUGGGGCCGCGGCCGAUCAGGCUGUUGGUGAGGCAACGGCUCACCAAACCUAUAACCGGUACGGGCCGUGGGAGCGGAAGCCCGGAGAUGGGAACUGAGACAAGGCCCCAGGCCCUACGGGGCGCAGCAGUUGCGAAAACUCCGCAAUGCACGAAAGUGUGACGGGGCUACCCCGAGUGCCGUCCGCUGAGGAUGGCUAUUCCCUGGUGUAAGGAGCCGGGGGAAUAAGGAGAGGGCAAGUCUGGUGUCAGCCGCCGCGGUAAUACCAGCUCUCCGAGUGGUGGGGAUGAUUAUUGGGCCUAAAGCGUCCGUAGCCUGCCCUUCAAGUCUCUCGUUAAAUCCAGCGAUUCAAUCGUUGGACUGCGGGAGAUACUGUUGGGCUAGGAGGCGGGAGAAGCCGACGGUAUUCCCGGUGUAGGGGUAAAAUCCUAUAAUCCCGGGAGGACCACCAGUGGCGAAGGCGGUCGGCUAGAACGCGCUCAACGGUGAGGGACGAAAGCUGGGGGAGCAAACCGGAUUAGAUACCCGGAUAGUCCCAGCUGUAAACGAUGCGGGCUAGGUGUUGGAGUGGCCACGAGCCACUUCAGUGCCGCAGGGAAGCCAUUAAGCCUGCCACCUGGGAAGUACGGCCGCAAGGCUGAAACUUAAAGGAAUUGGCGGGGGAGCAC
rnacentral:rRNA from 1 species